rnacentral:lncRNA from 1 species
CAGACACAUGUGCGGCAGCGGACUGCGUCAUUCGAGAAGUGCUGUGUCCUCAGGUUUGAGUACACUGUGAGUAGCAGUGUAUUUUCUUGAAGUGAAUGAACAAGAGAGAAAGGAUUUCAAGGUGGGAAGAAUGGAGGAAUAAACUGCCCGACGUGACCAGCUCACAUCCACAGCCAUGCCCGCUGCUCUGCACUCGCGGAGAGGGCAUUUUGACUCACCACCAUCAGCACCUGACCACUUGGCUGCCACACCCACCCAAGCUGCCUGCCAGCUUGGACUUGGCCAGGAAGAGUCUGGAGCCACAGCUAGACCCUGGAUGCAGAGUACCCAGUGCUGUGAGGGAGACCUUCCUUGAGAGAAAGCAUUUGGAGCCUCUGUAGGAAACCAGACUAAUGAUGAUCAGGGUUAGAGAACCGGAUACCAGCCCCA